rnacentral:pre_miRNA from 1 species
UCCGGCAGUCACGGAUACGGGACCGCCGCGUCCGGGGGUCCCGUAUCCGUGACUGCCGGA